GACGAACGCUGGCGGCGUGCUUAACACAUGCAAGUCGAACGGAAAGGCCCUGCUUUUGUGGGGUGCUCGAGUGGCGAACGGGUGAGUAACACGUGAGUAACCUGCCCUUGACUUUGGGAUAACUUCAGGAAACUGGGGCUAAUACCGGAUAGGAGCUCCUGCUGCAUGGUGGGGGUUGGAAAGUUUCGGCGGUUGGGGAUGGACUCGCGGCUUAUCAGCUUGUUGGUGGGGUAGUGGCUUACCAAGGCUUUGACGGGUAGCCGGACUGAGAGGGUGACCGGCCACAUUGGGACUGAGAGACGGCCCAGACUCCUACGGGAGGCAGCAGUGGGGAAUAUUGCACAAUGGGCGGAAGCCUGAUGCAGCAACGCCGCGUGCGGGAUGACGGCCUUCGGGUUGUAAACCGCUUUCGCCUGUGACGAAGCGUGAGUGACGGUAAUGGGUAAAGAAGCACCGGCUAACUACGU
rnacentral:rRNA from 1 species